AGAACAACUACAUCUUGAUUCUAGUACAGGACAGAUUCCUCGCUUUGAUAGACAAGAAAAAUACCGUGUCAAUGGCUAUGAGAGCUUACAAAGUUUCUCAAAAGAUAAUACAUCAACCUCAACAAUUUGUGAAAAUAUAGAACAGAAUCCACUAUCAGUGGUGACCAUGUGUAACCAAAAAAUGGUAAUUAUUAUACCCAUAUAGCCACUGCAAUUCUAAUUUUAUAAAAUAUCUUCAAAUUGUUCAUUCUCAUAACUAAAUCAUGGCAGUCUGGCAUAAAUUUUGAUUUGUAACCAUUCCUGCUCACCAAUCUUGUUUACAAGCCUUCCCAAUUCAAUCGAAAGGAGCUAAUCUGGUUCAACGGAUGAUAAAUGGAUGACCUCAACCAGCAGAUUGGCUCUUCUCCUCCGUCCACCAUCUUCUUAAAUACUUUCUGCAGUUCAAGUAAAACAACAUACGUCUUUCCUGGGGGUUGAUUGUCUCCGAUUUUUCUGUUAGAUUUUCAGUUGCCCAAUAUCUUCAGAACCCUCUGUGCCUCCAAAGUUGAUUCAGUUUUGAUAUCCCCAUUUCGACACGUAACUUUUCCGGUGACCAAGUGAUCCCUGUGAUGGACAACCGUCUCAUUCUCCCAGGAUUCUAUAGGUUUAUACUUCUUACUAUUAUGAAACUUCAGAAUCUAAGAAUUGUUCUAUGUUCACGCUGCUAUCCACUGCCCCAUUAUUUCUGCCAGCCUUGAAAACACUCCACCGUUUUUUCUCUCUUCUUUGGUGAAAGAAGCACGGACUUCAUAGAAGACUAUUGCAGGUUUGAUUAGUAUUGUUGCCACUUGAUGGCUUUGCCAUUCUAAGUUAAUUUUUACAAACGCACGUUUUUAUUCUGUCUAUCACACAGUGGCUUCAAUAGUGUUCAUGAAAUUUUAUAUAAAUGUUCAUGUCAAAUGAAGAUAAAACGGAACUCCUUGAAGGGAGAGGAGCUUGUGAAUUGUGAUGAACAUAUAGAAGAUUAAGGUAGAUCAGCACCCGCUGGCCACCACUUCAGGUCCAAAGCUUUUUCCAAGCCCUCCUCUCUCGAUCUGGAUUUUGAAGAUUCUGCUGAUGUUAUACGCUCACAUUUCCCCUUUAGCCCCUCGAAUUUUCCUUUUAAUGCCUCAAAUCUGCUUGUUAAUUCCUCCAUUUCUUUUGAAAUAUCUGUCAUUUUGAAAUUGAUAUGGAAACUUUAAUCAAUGCUAUCACAAUCACCAAGAACUAAAUACAGGAAAAAGUAAUUUCUGGAACACAUAAACUAAUUUGAACAUGCUACUGAGAUCACACAUUUAAUCUCAGCAAUACAGGGACAUAUUGCUAUGCAACCAUAAGACGGAGCCGAGCAUGAUUUUCUGCAGGCAGAACUGUUAACUUGCUCAUUCUCACUGCUUUGCUCCUUCAAUGUUGAUGGAUGCCUGUGGCGGAAAUGGUAGAAUUGUUGUUGACCCUCAGAUUUCCGGGCUAGUUACAGAGCCAAAUUAAAUACACUUCUCGAACUUGCAAUUUCUGCUGCUGUGAUCUAAGCUUAAGAAGUCUAACCCCCUAUGUAGGAAGCAGAAUCAAGGAGGAGUUGAGGAGAAGAAAGGAGAAUGAUAUAUUAGCUAUAGGUUGCAUUGUGAUUUUAAUUUUCUCUUGAAAGCUGAAACUGAUCUCUUCAAUAUGCACUUUCUAACAAGUUUAUCAGCAGAAGCUAUUCAAGCCAUGGGAGUAAUUCCACUAUAGAAACCGACAGAAUGCUGUCAGAUAUCAUCAACAAAAAACUUAAAGGUUCGCUGAUUUCAUUCAAGAACAAAACACAUAAAUGUUUAAUAUCACUUUGUUCGCGAAGUGGUGGAAAAUGAAAAUGUGGAUUUUCAAAAGGUUCACGCAAAGGAAAACCCAGCAGAUGCUUUGACUAAACCGGUCAACACUAAUAAGUAUAUAUGGUGUAGAUCCUCUUGUGGCCUAGCAGAAAUGUAAGCAGCAUGAAGAUGACAAGUAUAGAAAUGAUAGAAAAAGAAUCACAGAUAAUCAAGUGUGAAGACUUGAUUAAAUCAUCAAAGUCUUCAAGUGAGAGAAUGUAAAGCCAUUUAAUUAGUUGGCAUAAUUGAUGGGAUUUGAGUGGGAGAUGAGUUGUAAUUGGUGGAGUAUGAGUGGAGGAUGAGUUGUUAGGCAUAUAUUCUUCCUAAAUUUAUGACCAUUAUACUCUCAUUCUUGCCUAUAAAUAGGCAAUGCAUUGAAGCCUAUAUGCACACCAAGAUAGAGAAGAGAAGAGGAGAGUGAAGAGAGAGUAAUCCCAUAAAAUUGUGAGGUAUUUGUGAGAGAGUAAGUGAGGUGUUUUUUUCCUAAUAAUAGAGAGAUUCUUAGUUGUUCUCCUAUUAUUUGAGAGAGGUUGUAAUUCCUACAUUACUUAGUAAAAUCCUUCUAUAUUUGCCUGUGGAUGUAGCCCAAUUGGGUGAACCAUGUAAAUUCUUAUGUGUCUCAUUUUUCAUUUUAUUUUAUUUCUUGGUUUUUAUCUUAUCGGGUUUACAUGCCCAAUAUACUAACAGGAGAGUCACAUGGAGUGUCACAGGUCUUACAGUCAACUUUUGUACCUACUUUCUCAAGGAAAAGUAGAAGGAAACGGUGGCCCUUGUAAGAAACUGUGGGUCUUAGCAGAGCGCAUUCGCUGUGCAUCGUAAAACAAAAUUUCCGAUAACAGUAGCUAAAACGUGUGAGGAUUUUGCAACACACAUCGCAUGCGGCCACUCGAGUUCACAUAGCUGGGUUAGUAAGGUUAGAGGAUGGCUUGGGUGAAAGUUGUGUUGAAUUUCCCGUGGAAGCUCAAAGCAUGAUUUGUCAAGAAUAAAACUACAUUUGCUGCAAUCAUAUGCUGGACCUGAACAGCAUCUCCCGCAGGUUGAGCAAGAAAUUUCAUCCUCGUCUUUUAUCUCAGUGAGUGUUAAUGGAUGCCCAUGAGUAAAAUGGCAAAACUGCUCUCCACUUUGAGCUUUUACGGUUGGUAGCAGAGCACAUUCUAUAUCCAUGGCGAAAUUACACCAUUUACAGUAAAAGUAGAAGCUCUGCAGGAUAGCUCUGUCACAAGCUCCACAAUUAAAACAAUUUGGCUGAAUGCAAAGGGUAAGAGGGCAUGGGUGAAAGAAGAGUCGGAUUUGCAAUGGCAAAUCAAAACAAGAUUAGUGGAGAAGAAUUUGACAGGUGACGCAACCAUAAGUCCGAGCUGAACAGAGUUUUCCGCAUGCAGAGCAGUUGACUUGACCGUACUCUUCGUUUUGCUAGCUAAAUUCCACUGCAUGCCUGUGGCUGAAAUGUCUAUAGCGCUUUUGACCCUCAAAUUUUUCUGUGAGUGAUACAGUUUCAACAUCCAUAUUAAACUUGCGAUUUUGGCAUUUGUAACAUAAAUCGACAAUGUAGUGAUCUAAAAUUUGAGUGCUGAGGGUUAGGAGGCAUGGGUGACAAGGGUGUUGAACCUCUUGUGGGAACUCCAAUUGCAACGUUUGCACGUAUAUGUUGGACCUAUGCAAUUAGUCUGGCAUGCAGCACAAAUAUAUGUAAAAACUUUUUUAUCUAAUAAAACUGUUUCCAGUGGAUGGAAGUGACUGAAA